rnacentral:rRNA from 1 species
GACGAACGCUGGCGGCGUGCCUAAUACAUGCAAGUCGAGCGAAUCAAUAGGAGCUUGCUCCUGUUGGUUAGCGGCGGACGGGUGAGUAACACGUGGGCAACCUGCCUGUAAGACUGGGAUAACACCGGGAAACCGGUGCUAAUACCGGAUAAUCCUCUUCCUCUCAUGAGGAAAAGCUGAAAGUCGGUUUCGGCUGACACUUACAGAUGGGCCCGCGGCGCAUUAGCAAGUUGGUGAGGUAACGGCUCACCAAGGCGACGAUGCGUAGCCGACCUGAGAGGGUGAUCGGCCACACUGGGACUGAGACACGGCCCAGACUCCUACGGGAGGCAACAGUAGGGAAUCUUCCACAAUGGACGAAAGUCUGAUGGAGCAACGCCGCGUGAGCGAUGAAGGCCUUCGGGUCGUAAAGCUCUGUUGUUAGGGAAGAACAAGUAUCGGAGUAACUGCCGGUACCUUGACGGUACCUAACCAGAAAGCCACGGCUAACUACGUGCCAGCCGCCGCGGUAACAC